rnacentral:rRNA from 1 species
ACGGAAGGCAGCAGUGGGGGAUAUUGCGCAAUGGGGGAAACCCUGACGCAGCAACGCCGCGUGAAGGAAGAAGGUUUUCGGAUCGUAAACUUUUGUCUUCAGGGACGAAAAAGAUGACGGUACCUGAGGAGGAAGCUCCGGCUAACUACGUGCCAGCAGCCGCGGUAAUACGUAGGGAGCGAGCGUUGUCCGGAAUUACUGGGUGUAAAGGGCGUGUAGGCGGGCAAUCAAGUCAGAUGUGAAAUACCCGGGCUUAACUUGGGAGCUGCAUUUGAAACUGAAUGUCUUGAGUGGUGGAGAGGAAAGCGGAAUUCCUAGUGUAGCGGUGAAAUGCGUAGAUAUUAGGAGGAACACCAGUGGCGAAGGCGGCUUUCUGGACACUAACUGACGCUGAGGCGCGAAAGCAUGGGGAGCAAACAGGAUUAGAUACCCUGGUA